rnacentral:rRNA from 1 species
GAUGAACGCUGGCGGCGUGCCUAAUACAUGCAAGUCGAGCGAACAGACGAGGAGCUUGCUCCUCUGACGUUAGCGGCGGACGGGUGAGUAACACGUGGAUAACCUACCUAUAAGACUGGGAUAACUUCGGGAAACCGGAGCUAAUACCGGAUAAUAUAUUGAACCGCAUGGUUCAAUAGUGAAAGACGGUUUUGCUGUCACUUAUAGAUGGAUCCGCGCCGCAUUAGCUAGUUGGUAAGGUAACGGCUUACCAAGGCAACGAUGCGUAGCCGACCUGAGAGGGUGACCGGCCACAGUGGGACUGAGAGGCGGGCGAGAGUCAUACGGGAGGCAGCAGUGGGGAAUAUGGCACAAUGGGGGGAAGCGGGAUGCAGCAACGCCGCGUGCGGGAUGACGGUCUUAGGGGUGAAAAACGAUUUCGCCUGUGACGAAGCGUGAGUGACGGUAAUGGGUAAAGAAGCACCGGCUAACUACGUG